rnacentral:lncRNA from 1 species
UUUUGACCCUUACUUAGAGUAAUCAUUGAUAACAUUUUAUUUAAGUGAACUUAAAUCAUUAUGGUUAUUUCAUGUUCCCAUUGGUACAACCUAGCGGUUUUGCUGUGAGGGUCUUUUAUGUAGGAUAUUGGGUUCGAAUCCGGAUCACUUUUUCCCUCCCUAUAUAUAUAUAUAUAUAUUUGAGUAUGUGUUGGGCACCAUGCUAUGUUAAUAAAAAAAAAAGUUACGCUAAUUUCUACUAAAAAUUGGAUGGUUAAUACAAAACAAAAUUGCACAAACAAAAAGUAUUCCACAUGCAAAAAAACUACACACAACACAUAUUUUUGUUAAUUUAUUUUUCCACAUAUUCGUUGCAUAGUUGCAAGCUGCAUGAGAUAUAUUUUUUGAGUUAAACUUGCAUGAGAUCUUUAUUACCAGUUAUUAGUGAUCUAAAACAAGUAAAACUCUAACAUACUAUUAGUCCAACAAGAGUACGUACGUACGUACGAGGAAACGAAACCUAGGACUGUUUGAUUUUGACAUUGAAAUGCUUGUCUGCAAAGUGGACAAGGUUUUUGAAUUCAUUGUCAUCAAUGAAACCGUUAUGAUUGGUGUCUGCAGCGUAAAAGUCUGGACAUAUACUCCAAGAGACAAGGAGUCCUCUUGUAAGGCGCACAGCAUGUCGCAGUUCCUCUUUGCUGAUUUUGCCAUCAUUUUUUGUGUCAAAUGUUGUCUUCAACCAUAACUUGAAUUGCUCCACCGUCAUCACACGUUUCCCUUGAUGAUGAUCACUGAACCCUUUGUGAUCCAUGAACGGCAUACCUGAAAUUUGAGAAAUUUGAAAUUUCCUCUCAGUCAGUCACUUACUAUAGUUUAUGUUAUGUUUUGUUCAUGAUUUGCUUUCAUGAUUGGAUGCUGUAUUUAUAUUGCCACAUUUGCUUUAUUUCUUGUUUUGUUUAAGCAUCAGUGCUAGGGCUGUUCAUUUUGUUACAACCACAUUCUUUUUACUUCGUAUAAAUAAUACACUGAAUAUAUUCUAUAUAUAUUUAUUUCCAUCCUUUGUGGAAAAAUUAGUAAAGUGUUGACCAAAGGAUUGUACACAUUUCAUAAAAUUAUGGAAAAUGAUAUUGAUAUGAUCUGAUAUGAAGAGAUAUAGAUUGAUAGACACCAAAAGCCCAUCUCUUGAGAGAGAGAUAGAGUGAGUGAUCUAAAAGAUGUGAUAUGUUGUUGGUGUAAUAGGAAGAUAUAUAUAUAUAUAUAUAUAAAAUAAGGUGUUAAAUAAAUGUAGGAAAUUUAAGAGUGUUUAAAUAUAAAAGUUGUAAAAUUACCUUCCCUUUUUUGGAAAUGACUCAGUUUACUGAAGCCAAAUAAUUUACUACCAUGUGCGAGUCACAGUUCCACGACUUCACUCACCCAACCAUAUUAUGUCCGUUUGAUUGGCCAUCUGAAACUCAAUCUAGAUUUUAAUUUCUUUUUAAAUUUAAAAUACGAUUUAAAAUUUGGGUCGUGUUUGGUCUUGAUUGAGCAACCAAUAUAAUCUUAUCGUGUUCAAUAAUUGAACCUUAAUCCAAAAUUUACACCCUCAAAUACUUUAUCUCCCUUAUUUUUAACAUUUAAACUAUUUUUUACCCUUUGUUCUAUACCUAACUUUUAAAUUGACCGAUAACACCACAAUUGAUAACAAAGUUCUUCCUCAAGAGAUCUAACAUUGUUACAUGCCUAGGUUAGAUGCGAACUUGAAUCCUCCGGUUAAUCUGAAAGAGAUCUUUACCAAAUGUUUUGGGUUUACAAAAGAGAUCCCUUACUAAAUGUUACACUAGUGGAAGAAUUUUUUUCUUAAAAAACAAAUGAAUAAAUAGAUUAAACCACAUGCGCGCUGUUGUGCGUUGAGUCUUUUUUUAGUUCAAUCUUGUUGUGCGUUGAGUAUUUUAUUUUUGUAUAUUAGUAGUAUGUUGUUUAAGCAUAAACGAUGCUGUCUUUAUUUAUUCUCUUUGCAAGUUGGACAUGCAUAACACCUAUAGCAACUAAUUAAUUAUAAAAAAAAAAAUAUACGUGCUUAUCUUUCAUCUACUUUAGGAUCAAGAAUUAAUCUGAAAUUUAUCAACAACAAUAAUCAAGAAUCUGGACUAUAAGCUAUAUGAUCGAUCUAUCUCCAAUCGGCAGGUGUUGGAAAAAGAUGAGAAGUGUUGUUCAAUUUAAAGGCGUGUUGUUAAAUUACUUAAUAAGUAUGAUAUAUUAUAAUAUCCUCUAAAAAAAAGACUAAAAUAUAUAAAAGCAUGGCCUAAGUACAACUAAAUCAUUCCAUCAGUAAUAAACGAUUUAAUAAAGAAUCAACAUUAAUUAAUAAGCAGAAUGAAUCUAGUUGGAGAUGUAGUAGUCACUUAAGCUAAGGCAUGAACAACUUAAAACUCUAUUAAUUUGUCUUCUAAUAAACUCAAUCUUGGAGCUUUUGAAGAAGAAAAAACAUUCUUUUAAAAAAAACAAGAAAAAAUAUGCCUACAAUUAAUAAGAAUUGAAUCAAAAUAUGACACAUCAUCUUGAGGAUUGUGAAAAUCAUCCACCUUUCUUUGCUAUCCGGCUCAAAAUCAAUAUCACAACUCUUGCUAGCCGAUAACAAUUAGAUUUAAAGGCUCUAACCAUUCAAUUUUAGCAAAAACGAAACAUCAUUGUUCAUCUCGCAGACAUCCUCAGUACCAACACAAUUAUUCCUCGGGAAGAAAGAGGCAUCAACGUUGCAUUUUAGCCGCAACCAUAGGAUUAGUCCACUUAUCACUAGGAGUAGCCACAACACGUAGCUUCAAUAUGACUAGCUAAAUGUCAGUGCUCGUUCAAUUUCUUAGGCUUAUCUUACACGACGAUUCCUACUUAAUCUUAAAAAGGUGAUCUAUAAAAUUAGUAAUUUGUUUUCAAUAUCAACAAUGUACCAUAAAAUUAGUAAUUUGUUUUCAUAUUUAUUUUAUAUAUAUGUGAGUUUUGCUAGAAGACACCCUUUAUGAAGGUGUCUUUUAGCAAGUUAUAACUAAAAAGUUGAUAAUCACAACUUGAGGUGUGGAUUGCUAAAAGAGACUUUCAUUGGUAUUAAUUGCAGGACGGAAAAGUUUUACAAGAGGGUCCUGUUUCCCCUCUCUAUACCGCGAAGGUAAUAAGUCUGCUUACCUUUGUUUUCUGUUUCUUUUUACUGUUCCCUUUCUUCUAUCUUGAGAUGCUUUCUUAUAGGAUUCAUUGGCCGUUUAAUUGAUGUAUCAGUGAGGUUUGAUACUCUAAGGAUUUGUUUCUAAUGUAAGUAUGUAAUGUUGUAACACAUUAACUUUUGCCCUUAAUCUUGCUGAACAAUGAUUGCAAGAGGAUUUUAAUUCAUGGAAUUAUUUCUGGAAGCUACCCCCUUCUCUUCUGCAUUUAAUAUUUGAAAGAGCUAUGGCUUUUGAGCUCAAUCACCUUGGUACUGGAUAUGGGAUUCGUGCAGGCUGUGAAGCUCUUAAAAGAAUAUAGGUAAGUUCAUUAUAUGCUCUAUACAUAAUCAUAAUUUUAGUACUUAGAUACUUGGUUUAAUUUUAUCUUGCUUUUAUUUAGAGUAAUUCCUUCGAUUCAAUGUUAUUUUCUCGCGGAAAUGUCUUUGUAAUUUUUUUCUUUUACCAAAUAAAGCAUAUAAUUGCGUGCUCGUUUGUUGCAUCCCUGUUCUUUAGUAUGUGCAAUUGUGCAUGCAACUUCAUAAUGAUGAUCUUUGCUAAUUGUGGAUUGAUUUAUUGAAAAUCAUAAUUUGGUGGAUGGAAUUCUUAUGAAAAAAUCAGCUGGAACGAUGAGCAGGUCCAUUUUUGUUAGUUCAAUGUGAACCCAUGACCACUAAGCUAAAGCCAUGGAAUCCCAAGCAGUUUCCAUGAUUUCUAGAUUAUUAUAGAUUACUAGUAGUGUCUAUGUCAAUUUGGAUUUAUAUACCAUUCAAUGUAAAUUUUACAUGGUCAAACUCAAACCAAAUAAUGUAAAAUACAUAUAAUUACCAAAUAUUCAAUAAAAGAAUAAAUUUUAAAACUAUAUUGUAGAACUGGUUUGCCCUAUACUAAUACAAUAUAUAUUGUAGAAAUGGUUUGCCUCAAAGAUUAAUAUUUUCAUAUCUAUCUUUUAUCCGAAAAUAUCUAAUAUAAUGAAAAAAUUAACUAAAAUGCAAUUAUUAUUUAUAGAACUAUUUUGUCAUAAUAUUAGAUGACAAAAUGAUUGGUUAAACUUUCUAAAUUUAGUUAAUUAAAUUUAUGAAUUCAAAUAAACAUAAUACAUGCUUUAUUUUGUUUAUAGUUUUCUUUUAAGUAAUAUCAUUAUAUUGAUUAUACAUAAAUAUGGACAUUUUUUUUAAGGAACAUAAGUAGGUAUAUAUUCACUUGAUUUCUUGAUAGUAAUAUUAAUUAUAAAAGAGUUAUUAUCAUUUUAAUAUUUUGAGCAUCUAAAUUAAGAAGAAUGAAAAAUAAAUCACAAUAAUUUUAAAAAUAGACAUGUUUUCGGAUAAAAAUAGAUAUGAAAAUAUUGUGUCUUAAGGAAAAUAUAAAGCAUUUUUUUUCACAAUUUAAAGCAAAAAUUAUUAAAUGUUAAUAAAUGAUUUACCAAAUACACACUACAAAAAUAAAUAAUUAAACUUGAAUCGUUAAUAAAUUUCAAUUUAACUCGAUAGAGAAUUAUAUGAGUAGUUUUUUCUUUUUGAUUAAAGAGAGAGAAUUUAACACUUACCCUCGGUUAGAAAAGAUAUCAGUCACUAGAAAAAACAAAAAUAGACAUGAGACAAACAAAAAUAGACAUGAGACAAAUUUUAUUUAUCUUUGAAUCGAACUUUAAAUUAUUAUGGUCAUGCCUCCUAACAAUCAGAUGGUUGAUAUAUUUUUUUUUAUCCUAAUCGUAUGGUUGAUUAAGACCAGACAAAAAUGCACAAAAUGAAAAGUCUUCCACUUUGUGACCAAACUACACAUAUGUUUUGUUAAUUUUUCAAUUGUUGUAUAUAUACGUUGCAUACAUGCACGAGAUCUUUUUUCUUUCUUUCUUUCUUCAUAUAAUUCAAACAACUUGCAUGAGAUCUUUAUUAUUGGGGGCAGAGAUCUAAAACAAGUACAACUUUAAAAACAGUGGUUAAUCAACUCCACCAAACGAUCAAUAAUUGACUAGAAUUCAAAUUCGAUUAUGAAUGGAACAAUUAUUUCUCGGAUUUUACUUAACUAACUCCGACUGAACUUCAGGUUAUAACCUUUUUCUAUGGGAAAUUGGAUGGUUAACAUUAAAAAGGAAAAAACACUAUUAUUAAUCCAACAAGACGUACAAGAAAACGAAACCUAGUGUGUGAUUUUGACAUUGAAAUGCUUGUCUGCAAAGUGGACAAGGUUUCUGACUUCAUUUUCAUCAAUGAAACCGUUGUGGUUGGCGUCUGCAAACUUGAAGUCUGUAUCACAACUCCAAGAUGCAAAGAGUCCUCUAGCAAGGCGCACAGCAUGUCGCAGUUCCUCUUUGCUCAUUCUUCCAUCACCGUUUGUGUCAAACGCUGUCUUCAACCAUAGUUUGAAUUGCUCCACCGUCAUCACACGCUUUCCAUGAUGACCAUUGAACCCUUUGUGCUCCAUGAACGCCAUACCUGAAAUUUGAGAAAUUUGAAAUAUUCCCUAUCAGUCACUAACUAGUGUUAUAUGUUUUGUUCGUGAUUAGUUUUCAAGCUUGGAUGUUGUAUUUAUAUUGCCACAUUUGCUUAGUUUCUUGCUUUGUUUAAGCACUAGUGCUGUUCAUUAGGUUACAAACACAUUCUUUUUACUUCGUUAGAAAAACACGUUAGAAUAUAUUCGAUCCUCUGUGGAAAAAUU